UGGGGGGAUAUUGCACAAUGGGGGAAACCCUGAUGCAGCGACGCCGCGUGAGCGAUGAAGUAUUUCGGUAUGUAAAGCUCUAUCAGCAGGGAAGAAAAUGGCGUACCUGACUAAGAAGCCCCGGCUAACUACGUGCCAGCAGCCGCGGUAAUACGUAGGGGGCAAGCGUUAUCCGGAUUUACUGGGUGUAAAGGGAGCGUAGACGGCGGUGCAAGUCUGAAGUGAAAGGCAAGGGCUCAACCUUUGGGACUGCUUUGGAAACCUGUGCUGCUAGAGUGUCGGAGAGGCAAGUGGAAUUCCUAGUGUAGCGGUGAAAUGCGUAGAUAUUAGGAGGAACACCAGUGGCGAAGGCGGCUUGCUGGACGAUGACUGACGUUGAGGCUCGAAAGCGUGGGGGAGCAAACAGGAUUAGAUACC
rnacentral:rRNA from 1 species